AAAACUGGUGACCUUUCUCCUUUCCUGGGGGUGAUAAGGAGUCAAAAGGAUUUCUGUAAAGUUGCCUCAGGGUCAGGGUCAUAGAACGAUCCCACUGGAGACCAUUUUUCCUCAGCAGAUUCAAGGUGAAUACCCAACGGUCAUUUUGGGGAAGCCGCAAACUAGUGGACAUAAUCCAGCUGCAGAUGCUUCAAACUCUGUGUUUGCUUCCUCUGAUGGGAAUUGAAGAUAAGAUUGGGAGGCCUUGGAUUCAGGAAAGGAAGAGAAGAUGGAAGAGGAGAUGCACUGGUAAGAGGAGCGUGCCUGGAGGAGAGGUGCGGAGAUGGAAAGAGCUGUUUCCAGCUGGAUAUUGCAGGGUCCCU